GAUCAUGGCUCAGGAUGAACGCUAGCUACAGGCUUAACACAUGCAAGUCGAGGGGCAUCAGGAAGAAAGCUUGCUUUUCUUUGCUGGCGACCGGCGCACGGGUGAGUAACACGUAUCCAACCUGCCCGUUUACUCGGGGAUAGCCUUUCGAAAGAAAGAUUAAUACCCGAUGGCAUAAUGAUUCCGCAUGGUUUCAUUAUUAAAGGAUUCCGGUAAAGGAUGGGGAUGCGUUCCAUUAGGUUGUUGGUGAGG
rnacentral:rRNA from 1 species